UUCCUUUCCUGUUCUCCUCUGUGCAGACUGACAGGGAUGAAAAGCUGGCUGCUGAUCAAAACACCCCACCCACCAUCACUGCCUGCUAUCUUCCCCACAUGCUCUCUCCACCGUUUCCCUCUCUCUUGCUCUCCUUUCUCUCAUUAUUUCUCUCCCUUCCUCCUUUUUCCCCCCCUCCGCUCCCCUUAUUUUGCUUCGCUGCUACCCUGCUGUUCCAGCUCUCUCCCCCCUCCAGUCUCUCACUCUGUUCACCUCUCAUCUCCUGCGAGCUCCCUUUUCCGUUUUCAGCCGUCCUCCCUUCAUCUUUCCUCAUCCCAUUCUCCCUCGUUCUUUGUCAUCUUCUCCACUCCUCUCUUCACCUCAACUCCCACGUCUAAGCAGCAGAAAUAGCGUGUGAGAAACGGAGAGAAAAGGAGAGCGAGUCAGAGAGGGAUAGAUUGUUGUUAGCAGGCUGAGGCAGAGCUGUCAUCAGCUGAGGGAUCUGAAGGUCUGCAUGUGUGUGUGUGGGGGGGGGGGUCUGUGCCGUGCCAAUUUACGCCGAGCGGCUUAAUCAAAGGGAAGAGCAGAGACACACGUACGCACACAUACAGACACAAGCACACAACCACCCCACCCAUGGGUCCCCCUAAGAAAUUCUCCCUUUCGCCUGCGUUCACUUGCUUUCAGGGCUGAGGGGGAAAAAAUGCACACAAACGCACUGCCUGCAGCUGUGGAUUGUCCAGUGCUAACGGACACACACUGUGAGAGUCCACGCAGGUUCAUUAACAGGUUGCCUGGAAGCUCGCACACAUAUACACAUAGCGAACGCAAGACAGACAGACAGGCAAAGAGAAAAACAGAGCGUUUUGUGCUGCAACUGAGUGGGAACAAAAGACGAAUGGGGGCAGUUACAUCAGAGAGUGGCAGGCUGAAAGAGACGGAGAUAGAAGGAGAAAAAGAGGGCAACAAGAGAGACGAGCAGCAAAGGGAGCGACACUCUGUGAUAGAGAGGACCUGUAAGAUAUUCCUGUGUAUCACUUUCAUCGCCAACACCAUCACCUCUCCGCCAGACAACACCGAUCCAGCGAGGCAAAAUCCACUCCCUAUUCCUAAAGACACGGUGACGACUGAUGACGAACAGGCACGCCAGCCAGCACGGCUGGGCGAGGGUUAAAAGGCAGCGCUGAAGUGGAGCUAGGAGCAAUACAAACAGUGGAAAAACACCUCUGCAGAGAACAGCUGCUCCUUGAAGCCGCCCUAGAAAUGUGCUUUCUCAACUGAGCCCCUGACUGCAAGGCAGAAGGCAGUGACACUGUUUAACAGGAGGGUAGGCUGCGCUUUAGAGACUGCGCGCCUAAGGCCAGUGCACAUGGGGACCCGUUUGAAAUGCAGAGCGAGGAACGCAUGUGUGUGUUCUGCCUUCGGAUGGGUUGCUAUCAUAUUCAGACACUCGACGGACACUGAUUGGACAGGGACAUCCCUCUGGCCACCUUGUCUGUGGGCCAAGAGGUGCAUAUGUGCGUGUGUAUGUGUGUGUGUGAGAGUGCGCGCAUGUGUUUGUAUGUGAUAACCAUAGAAUUGUCAUUCUCCAAGCACACCAUCAGUGUGUUUGUGCAUAUGUGUCUGUGGGAGUAUGAAGAAUUGCUUCUCUAACUCAAGAUGUCACGCGUCAAAAAAAAAAAAAAAAGAAAAGAAAAAAACAGCAGCCAACCACUGGAUGUAUCUCAAUGUGCGCGUUUGUGUUUAAAACAAGAGACAAAAUAAAACAGGUGAGGAUGAGGAAACCGUACAAGAUGAUGGUGAUGAUGAUGAUGAUGAUGAUGUGCUUCACAGGCUCGAAAUAUUCUGAUACUGAAGAGUUGAGGAAAAAAAAUGGACGCAGUAUUUUAAUAUACGGCUCUUAUCUCGGGAGCUGUAUUUUGAUGUGCAUUAUGGCUAAACAUCAUUGCGUCACCCUUGGUAUAUGUCCGGCUUUGUGCUAUUCAGAAAUUAAAAAAUAUAUAUAUAAAUAUAUGAAAAUGAGAAAAAAAAAUAUGAACUCUGUUUAAGAGUUUACUUCAACUGUGCGCACAGUCAGUAUGUACAGCAGACACCACCAUCAUCACUCGACAAGCUGCAGACGAGGGCUCAGAGGACCCACCGGGAGUCAGUCCAUCCACUUCAUAUCUAUGUACAGUUCAAGAAGUAUUACCUGUUAACAACAUUUCGAGAUUAUUUCGCACACCACAGCCGCGAGGAAAGACGUGCAUUCAAUCCUGAUGUCAUGAAACACACACACACCCAUCUGUUUGUGUAUCGAAAAAUGUAGCCUCUUUUCACUCCGCCAUGCUAUAUAACAAUGCCCCGUGCGGGGCGUCAGUUAAAGUACCGGUCAUUUUCAAAAGGAGACAUAUUUAAGUAUUAGGGCAUAAAAGAAAGUGCAAAAAUGCCACACCAAACUUUCUCUUUUAUGAAGCUCAUUAUUUAAUGGUGUAUAUAGGUAUUUGAUGCUGUUUAAAUGUAAAAUGUGAUGUACUAAUAUAAUUGUGUAUAGUAUUUCCUAGAGAUGUUUAUUUUCUAUAAAAUGGAAUAUGUUAUUGCUUAUAAAAUGUUAUUAAAAGAAUCCAUUGAUGAAAAAAAAACAAAACCUUUUUUGGGAAUGUCACUUGUCUUAAGUGGGAGCAUGCCGUUUAUUGAUUUUCAUGUCUAUUUGUUUGGACUUGAUGACACAGCAUCACUCUGUUUGAAAUGUUUUUUGUAACGCCAAUGUUAAAUAUACCAGCACCUUUCAAUGCUGCUAUGA
ensembl:lncRNA